GUGUCAGCCGCCGCGGUAAUACGGAGGGGGCGAGCGUUGUCCGAAUUCAUUGGGCGUAAAGCGCGUGUAGGCGGAUGGGAAAGCCUGGGGUGAAAGGUUGGAGCUCAACUCCAUACAGUGCCCUGGGGACUUCUUGUCUGGAGGCAGGCAGGGGACCGUGGAAUUCCUGGUGUAGCGGUGGAAUGCGUAGAGAUCAGGAAGAACACCCGUGGCGAAGGCGGCGGUCUGGGCCUGUGCUGACGCUGAGACGCGAAAGCGUGGGGAGCGAACGGGAUUAGAAACCCUUGUAGUCC
rnacentral:rRNA from 1 species